GCGCGAGUGGUGGAACUGGCAGACACACUGGCUUUAGGUGCCAGCGCCUUCGGGUGUGCGGGUUCGAGUCCCGCCUCGCGCA
rnacentral:tRNA from 1 species